rnacentral:misc_RNA from 1 species
AAAUUUUAUGUCAACGCAAAAGUAUGUUCUCAUUUGGUUUUUUUAGCUCUUCCAAAGAAUUUGCAUGCAUCCUUGUGUCUAUGUUUUUCUGUGGGAGAUCAUGAUUUUUCAAAUGGGAAUUUGUAGAGGCUAAGCGUAUUUUCAAACCAGGAAUUUUGCUGAAUGAUGAUCUCUUUGCAGUGAUGCUUGCAGAUACUGACAUUUCCCAUGUUUAUACUAAGCAAAAAAGGAAAACUUUUUUUGAAUGUCAAUAGAGCUUUCGAAAAGCUGAACAUAUUUUUUUUCUUAUCAUUCCACCAUUGAGUAUC